GCAGAGUAGAUCUGUGUGCGUUAUAUCGGUAUUGUUUCCGAUAUUGAGUGUCGUGCGGACGGGGAGUUGCCGCAUGAACGAAAAGAUCAUCUUACGGUACACGGAUCGCAUCCCGCUGU
rnacentral:ncRNA from 1 species